UCUUAUUAGGGUGUGGAGAGCAUGUGAUUUUUUCGUAAUUGAGGUUGGAUAAGGUUG
rnacentral:tRNA from 1 species